rnacentral:rRNA from 1 species
GCCAGACUCCUACGGGAGGCAGCAGUGGGGAAUAUUGCACAAUGGGGGAAACCCUGAUGCAGCGACGCCGCGUGAGUGAAGAAGUAUUUCGGUAUGUAAAGCUCUAUCAGCAGGGAAGAAAAUGACGGUACCUGAUUAAGAAGCCUCGGCUAACUACGUGCCAGCAGCCGCGGUAAUACGUAGGGGGCAAGCGUUAUCCGGAUUUACUGGGUGUAAAGGGAGCGUAGACGGCAGCGCAAGUCUGAAGUGAAAUGCCGGGGCUUAACCCCGGAACUGCUUUGGGAACUGUUUUGCUGGAGUAUGGGAGGGGUAAGCGGAAUUCCUGGUGUAGCGGUGAAAUGCGUAGAUAUCAGGAGGAACACCGGUGGCGAAGGCGGCUUACUGGACUGCAACUGACGUUGAGGCUCGAAAGCGUGGGGAGCAAACAGGAUUAGAUACCCCAGUA